rnacentral:tRNA from 1 species
GUCCCGGUGGGGUAGUGGACAUCCUAGAAGAUUGCGGAUCUUUUGACCCGGGUUCAAGUCCCGGCCGGGGCG